AAACUAACACAGACAUCAUGUAGAUCAUGGAUGUAAGGCUUUGAAACUUGAGGCAGAAAAAACAGGCUAAGGAUGUGUGGUUCCAUACUCUCUUGCAAUGCCGGGGGGCAGCAACUGAAGCUACCAGUCAGGCCACAAGAUUAUGAGGGUAAACAACUGAUAUUCUGCAGUGCACUGUAUUGCCAGAAGAUUUUGCCCAAAUGUAGGCUAAUUCCAAAAUAAUCAUCGGGAGAAGAAUGGCCUCUUCUUCAA
rnacentral:lncRNA from 1 species